ACCCUCCCAGGAUCACACCUGGAGAGUUUCCAGUCCUCUACCAGACUUGACUAGGGGAGGGAGAGUUAAGCAGAGGAAUACCCACUCCAUUCCUAGCUUAGGCAGUGGCUAGCGAGUGGAAGGUAAUCUGAUAAUAGU